UGAGCUACGAGGAGGCGCACGCCCCGCACUACAUCGCACACCGAAAGGGCUGGCUGUCGCAGCACACAGGUGAGGGCGCCUGGGAAGGACCGCCACCCGAUGUGACUGAAAGGUGGCAUGGUGACUCUCCAACAUGCUCUUUAAGACAAAGAUCUGAACUUUUGGGUAGGAUGGCGAACGCGCUGGGGAGGAUGACCUCGAGUUUAAAGACAGUUAAGAUUAGUGAGAGAGACCCUGUCACAUUUAGUUAUGGGACUGGAAACAAUCAGUUUCCAGUUAGAUUGCUAAAAUGUGCCGCUCAGGCAUGAGGAUGCACCCCAGCUCUUAAAUGAAAACCUAGAUCGAGGGGUGUGAGAAUGAAGGAGACAUUCUCAUGGGGUCACUGGCCAGCCAGUCUUGGAAGAGCAGCUGUUUUGCAGAACAAUAAAAAAAAAAAAAA
rnacentral:lncRNA from 1 species